GAGAGAGAGAGAGAGAGAGAAGGAGAGGGUUCUGUGCUUAUUUUUAAUGCCCUCUCCAUUUAGUUAGAGAUCAUUUUCAAUACAAAACCACACAGAGAAUCUGUAGAGAUAGAGACAGAGAGAGAAGAGAAAAUGUCUUGAAUUUUUCUUUUAUUCUGUUCUAAUUCUUUUAUUAAAUUUUCUCUGAAUUCUCCGAUCUUUGUUUUGCAAUUCUCAAGGAAAACCAGAGCAGAUAAUUAUUUGUUUCUCUGUACAUACUUUGUAGAUUUUUUUUUUUUAAUCUGAAGAUCGUUUCUUUGAGGUGAGUAAAUCGAAUUCCUUGUGGAAUUCAGUUUGAUUGUAUUUAUUUUGGAUUUUUUUUUUCUGUUUUGUUUUGUUCUGAAUUGUGAUCGAGCUAAUUGAGAUCGAUCAUUUGGUGGGAAGAGGAGUUUGACUUGUAGAGAAAUGUUUUGCUGAAUUGGGAACUGAGGUCGGGAUCUGAUCGUCGAAGUUGUUUUUUGGUUGGUUGCAUGGAAAUCGUAUUUGAGUGGGGGUCUGAAUUCUCUAGAAUUCUACGGCAUGGUUAUGAUUUGGAGUUAAUUCGUUUUUAUCUGGGCUGAUUUGGGGUUUAAGGGAUUUAGAUGACUAUAUUUUUUAUGGUUCAUAGAGAAAAUUGCUAAUGAAUUUGAAGGACUUUUAAAUUCAUCGAAUUUUGUUAAAUUGAGUGUGUAGAUUGGGAUUAUGGAAGUUGAAAUCCAAUUCUAGUUCCAUGAUCAUGUGGAGCAAAAGCCAAAUCCUGAAUUUGAAAGUAGCACCUUCAAUUUUAAUUCCUGAAACACUGUUCCGGAUGAAUUAUUGCUGUCUUAGUUGGAUCGAUCGCGGCUGUGAACUUUCGAUUGAUCUCUGUUCGGAGUUUUAGGAUCUCAAAGUUAAUAUGUUUAUUCCAGUGGAAAUUAGUUUUUAUUUUUGCAGAUUUUUUCAUUCCAGUGACAAUUUUCUUAGAACAAUUUAGCGUGAACAGAUGUUUCUUUGAUUCUUUUUGUUGAUCAUCUGGUUUCUUAUGUUAUCCUAUUAGAUCACCGUCGAUGAGUUUUUCUAGAAUAUUUUAGGGUUAUUCUGCUUCUUAUCGGGCCAUGAUAUAUGAAUCUCUGUUUUGGGUGGUGGUUGGUGGGUCAGCUAUGAUAAUUAUUCAUUUAAGGGCCCUAAAUUUUCAUGGUGCAUGUGAAUUUGAUUAGUUGACAAUGUUAUUUGUUUUUGUGAUCUCUCAAAAGCAAAUUCAGGUUACCAUAUUAUAGCAUAUGGUUGCUUUGUUUCUUAUUUUUCCUUCUUGAUGAGAUCGUUGCUUUUUCACUCUUAUAGAAUUAUACCUUGCUGUUCAAUUGAAGUAGUCAAAUUGCAUCUAUAAUCAGCUGAUUUAGUUAUUUAUCUCAUGUGGAUUUGAUGACAGUGAAGGAAUGUGGGCAGUGUAAUUGUCAUGUAUGCUUAAGAUAUGAUGGUGAAGAAGAGGCAAGAUUAUGGUUUCAGUGGCUUCUAUGUUCCCUUCAUACCUAGGGCACCUAGAUCAGCUAGACGGAGGGGUCUGCAUAAAAAGAAAGUUGAUGAUACUCAAAUUUGUGCAUUUGAAUUACUGGCUUCUUUAGCUGGAAAACUAUUGCAGGAGAGUGAAAGUUCUGCUUCUAGUAGUGCAUCUGAAACAAAUGAUCAGCCUGCAAUUGGUGAUGAUGUUAUUAAACAGGAGCGAGAUGAAAAAAAACUGCUGAAAACUGAGUGCCUUGAUCAGGGAAGCUGUGAAGAAAGUGUUUUUAUCCCUAAGUUUGCCCUAUCAAACAGUGAUAAAAAGUGCAUUCUGAAGGAAUCCAGACAUGCUGAAAGUGAUUCCAUUCUGGAGCACUCAAUAAUCACAAAUUCAGAUUCCUCAGUGAAAAUUAGCAGUGAUGUGAAGUCUAUGAUUUGCAAAAGCAAGACUUCAAGUGAUAAUUUCCCUUGUAAAAUAGAGGGAGGCUCUCCUCAUGCUAGGGAAUAUAGUGGUGAUAUGGAAAAUGGAUUCAGCAGACAUCUAGAAGCUGAUGCUCUGGAGACCGGAGGCUUGACUAUUGAUAACACAUCCAAUUUAAAGGAUCCCAUGGACUUGUGUAUGAAAUUUCCUGCACUAAUCAAUUCAGAGAAUGAUGUCAAAUUGCCAUCAUGCAGGGAUCCUGUUCCUAAAGCCUCCAAUUUAAGGCUUAUGAAUGAUAGUAAAUUAGGUAUCAGAGAUGAUGACGAUAACUUUUCUAGGUGUAAUAAGCCUGGCACCAAGCCAAGGGCAUUUAGGCAGCCAUCCCGAAUUGGGGAUCGAAGAAUAAGAAAAUUACUGACAUCUAAAUACUGGAAAGUAGCUCCA
rnacentral:misc_RNA from 1 species